GACGAACGCUGGCGGCGUGCUUAACACAUGCAAGUCGAACGAAGUGGCGCACGGGUGCGUAACGCGUAAUCAACCUGCCCUUCAGAGGGGUACACAAGUUGGAAACGACUGCUAAUACCGCAUACUGAAUGAUGGGUUUGCGUGUGUUUAGCUAGUGGGAGGGGUAGCGGCCCACCAAGGCGAUGAUCAGCAGCCGGUCUGAGAGGAUGAACGGCCACAUUGGGACUGAGACAAGGCCCAGACUCCUACGGGAGGCAGCAGUGGGGAAUCUGCCGAAAUGGACGAAAGUCUGACGGAGCAACGCGGCGUGAGUGAUGACGGCCUUCGGGUUGUAAAGCUCUGUUAAUCGGGACGCGGUACCGGAAUAGAAAGCCACGGCUAACUACGUGCCAGCAGCCGCGGUAAUAC
rnacentral:rRNA from 1 species